rnacentral:misc_RNA from 1 species
GAUGAAGAACGCAGCGAAAUGCGAUAAGUAAUGUGAAUUGCAGAAUUCAGUGAAUCAUCGAAUCUUUGAACGCACCUUGCACUCCUUGGUAUUCCGAGGAGUACGCCUGUUCGAGUGUUAUGAAGCUCUCAAAACGCAAUUGGCUUAAAACCUGAUUGUUGUUUUGGAUUUGAACUUUGCCGUGUUAUAACGGCUGGUUUUAAAAGUAUUAGCUGGUACUAGAACGAAUUGGUUCUACUCAACGUGAUAAUUAUCUGAUCGUUGAGGACAUUCCUUUCACGAGGAAUGGCCAUAGUAAAUUCAAUGGACUGCUUCUAAUCUGGCUUUAAUUCUUUAUUGGAUUAACCACUUUUCAAAUCUGACCUCGAAACAGGUGGGACUACCCGCUGAACUUAAGCAUAUCAAUAAGCGGAGGA